rnacentral:lncRNA from 1 species
UGUUUCCAUUUGUGAACAACAUAUAUGUGUGUAUGAAUAAAAUUUAUAAAUGGACAUAACCUUAUACACAAGAUUUAAAAUAACCCCUGGGCACAUGUGGGCCCAACCCAGAGAUAGCCCUUCCUGAAAUGACUGGAGCCAAGAGCCUGUCACGCUCGCGGUAUUCAGUGCAAGGUCUGAUCGCGUCUUCUGUCACUCAAGGCCUGAGGGCGCGGAGCCUGGAGCUCUAUCCAUUAAGGGCGCUGGGGUGGGAACUGUCCAAUCAGGUUCACAGUCAGAGAGGAAGGGGUGGCUCCCGGUACCUGGCGGGGCCUUUGUCUCUUGCUCCAGCCAGAGCUCGAGGUUAGCUCUUCACUGCCCUGUGUCUUCUUUCCAAGGGUCUCGGUGAUUCGGCCACAGCCUCAGCCUCCAUCACGCGGUGAACUGAUGGUGCUGGAAGAUUCAUAGACUCCAGGACAUUCCUGAAGCCGAGAAAAGGUUAAGUAGGGUCUGGCCUGGAAUACUCUCCUAGAUGAAGAUAGCCCAACCAUGAGCCACCUUCGAAGCAGAUGAGAUGAAAUUAAAGCUCUUCAACUCCUAAAGGCCCAGAGACUAUCACAAAAGAGGUCAGAAAUCCUGAAGGUCACUUUCUGACAAACUCAGGAACCCCAGGUUUAUCUUGGAGCCUCAAGAGGAGAUAAAUUCACCCAACUCAGAAACCACCCCACUGGCAGGAGACGGCGGUAGCUGUGGUCAUUGAAAACAAGCUCCUGCUGAUAAAUCUCAGACACCAGACACAGAAGAACCUGGAGACCCUGCCAGAGAGCUUGAGGCAAAUGGAUGGACUGUUGGAGCAGCUGAGGGUGAAGCAGCACAAACUCCUCAAAGUUGAAUAGCAAAGCAGCCACCAGAGAUGGACAAGAAAAAUGAACAAAGAAAAUUAGCAGAAAUCAAAGGCAGAUGCUAAAGCAGUGCAAAAUCAUUCAUUCAAUGAUAGAAAUGAAAUUGAUGAAGGAGUCUGGAAAAUGAAUGACAGAAGAGAAUUAAACAGCAGUGACCAUAGUAAGGUCCUGACGAUUCUGGUCCACUGAAUCCCAUCAUCCCUAAGACAGUAAAUAUCAUCACAGUCACCACCAGCAAGUUACCACCACAGCAUUUCCUGUUUGUUCCAAAAUGAAUAAAGAUGAUUCUCAUCACAAGGGCAAAUACAAAGUAGUUUAGUAUGUUUUUAACUAAACUAAAGGUGUUUGGUUUACUUUUUCUAAGUUCUCAUAAUUCUGAAAAUGCAGUUGACACUUGUGUGGCUCAUGAUGUUUUUAAUAGUCUAAUGCUACUUGAAUUGUUCAAAAACCACUGUAUUUUAAAUUAAGAUGAAUAAACGGUCCUUUGAAAACUGGCACAAGGCAAGGAUGCCCUCUGUCA